rnacentral:hammerhead_ribozyme from 1 species
AUCCAGCUGACGAAUCCCAAAUAGGAUGAAACUCAUCAAACUGGAU